GCCUAUUGCACGCAUUUCACACAAAAAGGGGGUACAAGAAUAUCAUCUCUGCUUCAGCGAUGCUUGCUCAUCUCCUUGUUUUUUUGGCAGGUAUUAUAAAGGAUGGUGAAACGUUAUCCAUACAAAUCCAUCCUAUGGCGAAACAUCACUCAGUAAUUCAUCAUGACUCUUCUUGGGAACUGGAAACAAGAUUUUCAAUAUCAGAUGAAGCCAGCUAUGGACGAAACGUCACUCGGUAUUUUUCAGGAUAUGGAAGUAAAGUUACGAAUUCUGGAGUGACGAGAAGUUGCGAAAUUCUCCAAAAGCCAGAGUUUAUUAAUGAUCUCAUUACAAAGGCUGGAGAAUUAAUUGUAACUCUUAAUGUUCCGUCUUUCGCCAUGGUUACUGAAUGCGGAGAUCACGCUGAUAAUACAGCAAAAGGGAUUGCAUUGACGAUGGGAAAAAAGGGAGUGAGCAUUUGUCAUUUUCGCAAUAUUAGACACCUCGUGCGUGUAGUGAUGCGCAGUCCCAACAACGCCGAAUGCUUCACUCAUAGUCAAUGGACAAUUGUAUUAACGGGAUCUUCAUCUUGGGCUGCAACUAUAGUGCAUACAGCUACGACCAUGGGGCUCUACGAUCAGCGUGUACACUGGUUGAUGCUUGGGACGGGACAAGAAAAUGUUGCAGCCUCUAUGCGUCUUUUCCGCUUAACUUUCCGAAUUACCUGGCUUCGCUGGUCAACGAAAAUUC